rnacentral:rRNA from 1 species
AUUGAACGCUGGCGGCAGGCCUAACACAUGCAAGUCGAACGAGUGGCGGACGGGUGAGUAAUGUCUGGGAAACUGCCUGAUGGAGGGGGAUAACUACUGGAAACGGUAGCUAAUACCGCAUACCAUCAGAUGUGCCCAGAUGGGAUUAGCUAGUUGGUGGGGUAACGGCUCACCAAGGCGACGCUCCCUAGCUGGUCUGAAAGGAUGACCAGUCAAACUGGAAAUGAGACACGGUCCAGACUUCUACGGGAGGGAGCAGUGGGGAAUAGUGGCCAAUGGUCGCAAGCCUGCUGCAGCCAUGCCGCGUGUAUGAAGAAGGCCUUCGGGUUGUAAAGUACUUUCAGCGAGGAGGCGUUACCCGCAGAAGAAGCACCGGCUAACUCCGUGCCAGCAGCCGCGGUAAUAC